rnacentral:rRNA from 1 species
AUUGAACGCUGGCGGCAGGCCUAACACAUGCAAGUCGAGCGAGCGGCGGACGGGUGAGUAAUGUCUGGGAAACUGCCUGAUGGAGGGGGAUAACUACUGGAAAAGGUAGCUAAUACCGCAUACCAUCAGAUGUGCCCAGAUGGGAGUAGCUAGUAGGUGGGGUAACGGCUCACCUAGGCGACGAUCCCUAGCUGGUCUGAGAGGAGGACCAGCAAAACUGGAACGGUACCACGUUCCCGAAUCCUACGGGAGGCAGCAGGGGGGAAUAUUGCAAAAUUGGCGCAAGCCUGAUGCAGCCAUGCCGCGUGUGUGAAGAAGGCCUUCGGGUUGUAAAGCACUUUCAGCUGGGAGGCGUUACCCGCAGAAGAAGCACCGGCUAACUCCGUGCCAGCAGCCGCGGUAAUAC